AAUAGAUACCCGGGUAGUCCACACCGUAAACGAUGGAUACUAGGUGUAGGAGAUAUUAAGUCUUCUGUGCCGUCGCAAACGCAGUAAGUAUCCCACCUGGGGAGUACAGCCGCAAGGUUGAAACUCAAAGGAAUUGACGGGGGCCCGCACAAGCAGUGGAGUAUGUGGUUUAAUUCGAAGCAACGCGAAGAACCUUACCAGGGCUUGACAUAUAGAUGAAUAUAUAAGAGAUUAUAUAGCUUUUCGGAGCAUCUAUACAGGUGGUGCAUGGUUGUCGUCAGCUCGUGUCGUGAGAUGUUGGGUUAAGUCCCGCAACGAGCGCAACCCCUGUUUCUAGUUGCCAGCAUGUAAAGAUGGGAACUCUAGAAAGACUGCCGUAGAUAAUACGGAGGAAGGUGGGGAUGACGUCAAAUCAUCAUGCCCUUUAUGUCCUGGGCUACACACGUACUACAAUGGCUGUAACAGAGGGAAGCGAACCAGUGAUGGUAAGCGAAACCCGAAAAGCAGUCACAGUUCGGAUUGAAGGCU
rnacentral:rRNA from 1 species